AUACGUAGGGUGCAAGCGUUAAUCGGAAUUACUGGGCGUAAAGCGUGCGCAGGCGGUUUUGUAAGACAGAGGUGAAAUCCCCGGGCUCAACCUGGGAACUGCCUUUGUGACUGCAAGGCUAGAGUACGGCAGAGGGGGAUGGAAUUCCGCGUGUAGCAGUGAAAUGCGUAGAUAUGCGGAGGAACACCGAUGGCGAAGGCAAUCCCCUGGGCCAGUACUGACGCUCAUGCACGAAAGCGUGGGGAGCAAACAGGAUUAGAUACCCUGGUAGUCCACGCCCUAAACGAUGUCAACUGGUUGUUGGGUCUUCAUUGACUCAGUAACGAAGCUAACGCGUGAAGUGGACCGCCUGGGGAGUACGGCCGCAAGGUUGAAACUCAAAUGAAUUGACGGGG
rnacentral:rRNA from 1 species